UGCAAGUCGAACGAUGAAGUGGAGCUUGCUCCACGGAUUAGUGGCGAACGGGUGAGGAACACGUGAGAAACCUGCCUCGGAUUUUGGGAUAACAAAUGGAAACGUUUGCUAAUACCAAAUAACGUCGGAGAGUCACAUGACUUUCUGACGAAAGGAAUUCCGAUUCGAGAGGGUCUCGCGGCCUAUCAGCUUGUUGGCGGGGUAAUGGCCCACCAAGGCAACGACGGGUAGCUGGUCUGAGAGGAUGGUCAGCCACACUGGGACUGAGACACGGCCCAGACUCCUACGGGAGGCAGCAGUGGGGAAUCUUGCGCAAUGGGCGAAAGCCUGACGCAGCAACGCCGCGUGCGGGAAGAAGGCUUUCGGGCUGUAAACCGCUUUCAGCAGGAACGAAAAUGACGGUACCUGCAGAAGAAGGAGCGGCCAACUAUGUGCCAGCAGCCGCGGUGAUACAUAGGCUUCAAGCGUUGUCCGGAUUUAUUGGGCGUAAAGAGUUCGUAGGCGGUCGAGUAAGUCGGGUGUGAAAAUUCUGGGCUCAACCCAGAGACGCCACCCGAUACUGCUUAACUUGAGUUCGAUAGGGGAGUGGGGAAUUCCUAGUGUAGCGGUGAAAUGCGCAGAUAUUAGGAGGAACACCGGUGGCGAAGGCGCCACUCUGGAUCGACACUGACGCUGAGGAACGAAAGCAUGGGUAGCAAAC
rnacentral:rRNA from 1 species